CUAUAUUCAAAAAUUUUUUUUCAUUACUUUUUUUUGUGUGUCUUCAAACUCUAAACGCGCAUAAACUUUUCCCCAAAAAAAAAUUUUUUAAUAACAAAUUCUCUCUCAAAAAAAAAUUAAUUAUAUCUUUUGGCGCUGUACGUUGGCGAGGCUCAACCAUAACAACAACAAUCAGAACGAGAACGAGAACAGAGCAGAGCAGGAGCAUUGAGGCUGAGCCCAACACCUAGAGCUGCUUUCAAUAUUCAUGGAGCGCGUUCAAUGAGCUGGAAAUGUCCAAGUGGCCGCAAUGAACCGCUGCUCCCCAACAACAACAAAAACAACAACAACAGCAAGCAGCAUGAAUCUAAAAAAAAUUCGCAGCAAGAAAAAUAGAUAACAAGCUCGUUAAGCCAACAGCCAAGUAAUUAUAAAUAAAUAAAAAAAAAAUGCAUAAAAUGACAGAGCAAAAAAUAUAAAAUAUAUAAAUUUAAAUUGAAUUAAAAUAUAAACACAGAGUGCAAUGUGAAUUCAUUCAAAAUUAUUCACACGUCGAAAGUGAAACAUAUAUAUAUCGCAUAUGUAUUUAUGAGAACGUAAACAAAAGUGCGCGCGUGUAUUGUGUGUAAAGCAAAAAUAAAACAACAACUAUAUAUAAUUUUUUUUAACUCUUUUGUUUUGUUUUUUUUUGACGUGCAACAGAACCAGCAAAUCAAAAGUUGAUAAUGUGCUUCAAACUAAGAAUGUGCAAACAGCAAACGAAAACUAACUAAAGCGUAAACCAGCGAGCAUAUCUAUAGACACACACACACACAUACAUACGUACAUUGUAUAUGUAUGUAUGCUGUUUGAGCAAAGUUUAACGUAACUUCUAACUGUGCUACGUCGUUUUCCCAAAGCCUGCGCUCCUUCGUGCUAUAAAUAUAAUCAAAAGAAAAAGAAAAAGAAAGAAAAAGAAAAACUUACUUAUACAUAGACGAUAUACUAGCUGGUAUUACUUAACUAUCAAAUAGCAAUCUAUGAUUAAAUCAUAUAAUCCAUAUAAACUCGUAUGCAAAAAAUCUAAAACUUCAACGGAAAUUUAACUACACAACAAAAACAAUACAAAUGCACUAGGCUGCUGCAAAUGCGGGAUAUCAGAUUCAUAUCGCCAAACACCUAAAGGAAAUUAAUAAAUUACAUAAAUAUAAUUUGGCAAUUGAGCAAUUUACAGUGAGCGAGAAAAAUAUGCGCAAAAUUAUCAAAGUUGCGGCUAACAAACGUUUAAAUUUAAUACAUUUUUUAUAAAGCUUAACAAUUCUAUAAAACAAUUAGGCAAUAACAGAGCAAAGGCCAGACAACAACAUUUAGCUAGAAAUUAAACAAAAAACUAAAUAUUAAAUUAACUUGAAUUCAACAAUUUAAUGAGCAACAAAAUAUACAG